CGUGGCCCUGUUGCUCUGGUCAUUCCAUUCCGGAGAUUUACUGCUGCCUCCUAAAUAAACAAAGCUAUUGGAGCUUCAAGAGCCUGGUCCGACAGAUGACCAAGAGUCAUUUUUCAGCCUUAACACUAUUUGUUUACCGUGUGUCCAUUGUCAUUAACCCCAAGAGUGAAAGCAGACCAGUCCAUUUCAUUUUCUGAUUAUCGAGUUUAUGACAUCGUUAAAAUUAAUUGAGCGCUUAUCUCAGCACAUAACGAGUGGGCCAUGUGGAGCAGGCAGAGUUCCUGGAAAAACACUGGCGGAGGGUGUGAGUGUGUUCUUGCCAUCAGCGUGGUGCAGCCGGGUCCCUGGUCUCAUGCAGGCCAUGGAAUCUUACGUGUCGCCUGGAAAUUACCUCCGGCAGCUGAGUCACCCACCUCCCCGCCGAAGCCUGCUGGCUGUUUCCAAGGCCUUCCUCAUCAUUCAGACCACGACGCGGCCACAGGAAUACCAAAAGCAACACUUGAUGGCUGUGGAAGAUUUUCACCCUCACAGGUCCUGAAUGCCUUCUGUUUAUCACCUGCACUAAGGAUUUACGACUGUCUCAGUGUUGUAUUUCUAGCCGCUGUACUCUGAAGGAAAGCAUCCUGCCCCGAGAUGGUGCAGACACCCAGAGACGUUGCCUGGUCUGAAAUCUUUUCAUCUGUAGCUUUAGAAGAGCAAAGGGUAUGACAUAUGGAAAGGAGCGAACAGCCAUGGGAAGGCACGGCUAGUGACAGGGAUAGGAAUGCUAAUUACAGAAUGGAUGCUUGCCUCAAAAUGUUUCUGGUGGGUUUCUAUCUGUGGGGUACCACUUGAGGGUACGGGAUGGAGGCUACAUAUGGGGCAAUUGAGGGCAGAUGUGAUUCUGUGAUAGGCAUGCAGAACUGCAAGGUCAGCAAAUUCCAGCCCUUGACCCAAACCACAGUGUUUUUACGUAAUCACGGUUGGUGUGCAUUGAACUGUGUCCCUCCCAAAUCCAUACACGGAAGCCCUAACCCUCACUAUCUCAGAUUGUGGCUUUAUUUGGAAGCAGGGUCAUCGCAAGAGUAAUUAGUUAAGAUGAGGUCAUACUGGAAUAGAAUGGGCCCCUAAUCCAACACGACUAGUGUGCUUAUAAAAGGAGGGAAGUUGGACACAGAGACAGACCCACAGAGAGAAUAAUGAUCUGAAGACACGAGGAGAAGCCAACCAGUCACAAGGAGAACCAAAGACUGCCAACAAACCAUCGGAAGCUAGGAAAGAAACACUCUGUCCUCUGUUAAAAAGAAGACAACAGGUCCAACAUGGAGUCAGUUUUGCUAAGCCCUACAUCAAUCAUCAGGCCAAGACUUAACUUAGUUAUGGUUUUAGCUCUCCCAGAAAUGUCAUCUGAAACCAGUCAAUCAGGCAUCACUUCAUCAGCACUAGUUAAGUCAUCUGCCUGAUGGACCCCUGCUGUCCCUUAAAGGAAAGUAGCUUUGCAAUAACCUGCUUUUUUGUCUAGUAGAGCUUCCUUGUUCCUGCUCCCCUUUGCUUGUAUCAUUAUAUACAGCUCCUCGGAGCUCCUAUCUGCUUAAUUUGAUGCUGCCCAAUUCAGGAGCUGUUGAAUAAAGCCACGUGUU